UGUGGAACCUCCAGGUCUGGGGUCAGUGUGAUGCUGCCCUGAGGAACCACAUCUGGCUCCAUGACUGGAGAUGUUAACAGUGCAUCUGAUUGCACCCAGCCACGCCUGCCAUGGAAGAAUGAGGCGUUUCUGAGGGAAACUUAAAGAUGUGACAACUACCCUUCCUUUGGACAGCUGACCAACGUGUCAAGUUUCUUUGUCUUUGGCUGGAAUGUUAUCAGUGCGGGAUGAGAAUGUUGGCUUUUUACGGUGUUAGCUGCGCUUCGGUCAGGAACGAGUCACAGUACUGUCAGCCGUGGGCUCAGUGUUAGUGAAUCAACAUACAGUACAUCCAGAAAAAGGAAGAGGAAAUUCGCCAAUCUGAACACGAGGCCACUGCAGAAAGUGCUAGAGUAACGUUUGUUGUGUGUGGAGAAGCCAUGGAGAAGAUGGAAAAGCGGCUGUAUUUGUGGAUUCAGGAGAUGACGACUGAUUAAAAACAGCAUAGUGGGCAAUGUUGUUGUGAGAAAACCGGAAGAGAUUUACGGCCAGGAAAACAUUAAACCCUUCUCAGCUAGUGCUGGCUGACUCGCACAUUUCAAAAGGUGAAAUGCCGUGAAAAACGUUGAACCUGCAGGUGAGGAAGGUUCUGCAGAUCAGGAGGCUGUGGAGGAUUUUGGAAACACCUGGUGAGUGCUGUGCAGGAAAGGUGUGGGGUGGCAGAGCAGGCCACCGUGCUGACGGGACAGGCUUGUUUUACACGGAUGUUGGGAAACGAACCUGUAUCACACACAUGGGGUUUUGGUUGACAAAAAUGUUGUGACUGGAGGCUCCCAGGAACCUAACCUGUGUGUCCCCUAUGAGCAGUAGUUCAGUGUCACUAAUUCAGCGUUUGCAGCAAGUUCACAGAACAUAACUCUUGCAGAUAACGAGAAGUGACUGCGCUCCCCGCUGUUCGUGCCGUGUGGGCUCUGGUCCCACUGAGCGACUUGUAGUUUUCUGGGGUGCCCACUCCUCUCUACCUGGGCACCUAGGUUCAUCCUUAACCCUCAACCCCAGUUGUCCCCAGGAAGCCUCUCUGGACCCACUCCUAGAGAGACUGGGACGUUCCUCUCCACUCCUGUUAGCACAUCGCGCGCACAACUCCAUCUCAGCACCCAUCGUGGCAGCAUCAUUGUUCACAUAUUUGUCUCUCUCUCCG
rnacentral:lncRNA from 1 species